rnacentral:rRNA from 1 species
AGAGUUUGAUCCUGGCUCAGGAUGAACGCUGGCGGCGUGCUUAACACAUGCAAGUCGAACGAAGCACUUUUAUUUGAUUUCUUCGGAAUGAAGAUUUUAGUGACUGAGUGGCGGACGGGUGAGUAACGCGUGGGUAACCUGCCUCAUACAGGGGGAUAACAGUUAGAAAUGACUGCUAAUACCGCAUAAGACCACAGCACCGCAUGGUGCAGGGGUAAAAACUCCGGUGGUAUGAGAUGGACUCGCGUCUGAUUAGGUAGUUGGUGGGGUAACGGCCUACCAAGCCGACGAUCAGUAGCCGACCUGAGAGGGUGACCGGCCACAUUGGGACUGAGACACGGCCCAAACUCCUACGGGAGGCAGCAGUGGGGAAUAUUGCACAAUGGGGGAAACCCUGAUGCAGCGACGCCGCGUGAGCGAUGAAGUAUUUCGGUAUGUAAAGCUCUAUCAGCAGGGAAGAAAAUGACGGUACCUGACUAAGAAGCACCGGCUAAAUACGUGCCAGCAGCCGCGGUAAUACGUAUGGUGCAAGCGUUAUCCGGAUUUACUGGGUGUAAAGGGAGCGUAGACGGAGUGGCAAGUCUGAUGUGAAAACCCGGGGCUCAACCCCGGGACUGCAUUGGAAACUGUCAAUCUAGAGUACCGGAGAGGUAAGCGGAAUUCCUAGUGUAGCGGUGAAAUGCGUAGAUAUUAGGAGGAACACCAGUGGCGAAGGCGGCUUACUGGACGGUAACUGACGUUGAGGCUCGAAAGCGUGGGGAGCAAACAGGAUUUAGAUACCCUGGUAGUCCACGCCGUAAACGAUGACUACUAGGUGUCGGGCAGCAAAGCUGUUCGGUGCCGCAGCAAACGCAAUAAGUAGUCCACCUGGGGAAUACGUUCGCAAGAAUGAAACUCAAAGGAAUUGACGGGGACCCGCACAAGCGGUGGAGCAUGUGGUUUAAUUCGAAGCAACGCGAAGAACCUUACCUGCUCUUGACAUCUCCCUGACCGGCAAGUAAUGUUGCCUUUCCUUCGGGACAGGGAUGACAGGUGGUGCAUGGUUGUCGUCAGCUCGUGUCGUGAGAUGUUGGGUUAAGUCCCGCAACGAGCGCAACCCCUAUCUUUAGUAGCCAGCGGUUUGGCCGGGCACUCUAGAGAGACUGCCAGGGAUAACCUGGAGGAAGGUGGGGAUGACGUCAAAUCAUCAUGCCCCUUAUGAGCAGGGCUACACACGUGCUACAAUGGCGUAAACAAAGGGAGGCAGAACCGCGAGGUCGAGCAAAUCCCAAAAAUAACGUCUCAGUUCGGAUUGUAGUCUGCAACUCGACUACAUGAAGCUGGAAUCGCUAGUAAUCGCGAAUCAGAAUGUCGCGGUGAAUACGUUCCCGGGCCUUGUACACACCGCCCGUCA